rnacentral:tmRNA from 1 species
GGGGAUGUCUUGGUUUCGACGGGGUAGGUAGAAUAUAAAACGCAGUCGGGUUGUCGCGUUAAAGACAAAAACAAAUAUCUGGCAACAGAACAUCUUAUUCUUACGCAGCUUGCUAAUUAAGCCACUUGAUGUGUCCCUAUAGGUGGGAUCGUAAGCAUCACUCUAAGUUUGAUCCCUUGAUUUAGAAGUGGUGUAAAACUAAGGGAAUAAGAUCUAAUGAUUUCUAUAAGUUAGAUACGAAAAAAAAUAUAGGAUAGUCAAAGGUUGAUUCGUUAAUUAGUCUUACCUUUGAUGAAACUUACUAGUUAACUAAACUGUAGUGGGUUAUAUGGGACUUAUUUCGGACAGGAGUUCAAUUCUCCUCAUCUCCACCA